AAAUUAGCCACGGAUAUUAGCCACGGCAUUUAGCCCUGGCUAAUAAUGAUAAUAGGGUUAGGGUUAAUGUAAAUGUAAAUAAUUAGGGUUAGGGUUAAUGUAAAUCUAAAUAAUUAGGGUUAGGGUUAGGGUGAGGGUUAGGAUUAGGAUUAAUAGAAAUUAACAAAAAUUAGUAAAAAUAAGUAUAUAUACAUAUUUAGAUAGUGUUAGGGUUAGAAAUUAGGGUUAAAAGUAAGAGUUAGAAGUAGAAGUUAGG
rnacentral:lncRNA from 1 species